ACUUUGGUAUGCUUUUUUUGCUCCUUUUCUUUUUUAAAGGCCAUUUACGUUAUGAUUAAAUGCAUCUUGGAAAAGCAGAACGAAAGUCGUUAAUCUAUAUAGAUCUUCAAAGAAUCGAUACAUUCGGGACUUCUGUAGGAUUUGUUACACUCCAUUUUGUUACAGUAGGCAGCUCGUCUGGAUUUGGGCACAUGUGUUUCUCUCCCUCCCCUCGCCCCCCCCCUUCUUCCAGCUUCCCCCCCAAGAGUGAAAAUAAAGUAAAAGGUCUUUCAUGGUAAACAAAACCAGCUUAUUCUCCACAUAGAACACAUGAAUAGCUGGAAAAAAAACUUACAAUAAAUGGUGCAUUUUUUUCUCUGCUGGGUAUAGCAUUCAAGAUCAGUCCAGUAUUCAAGAAGCAGUCCAUUUUUUGCUCAGCAAGAGAGUUUAGAAAAGAAGCGUGGGGUCUAUUCAAGGAUCUUUUCCCCCUUCACAAUUGCUGGGCUUUAUGAAACCUAUCUUCCAUGCCUUGUCAGAGUAUUUCUGGGGACCAAUUAGUGCUUUGUUGCAAGGCUUCUUUGCUGAAUCUUUGAGCAGCAAGAAAAAGCUCUCUUGAGUCUCCCCUUAUUUUGACUAUUUCAGUCAUUACUCAGUGUAAUAAUUAAUAUGACAACUGGACGCUGAAGUUUGUAUAGAAACACCUCGGCUGCAGGAGAGAGCGUGCAGUGGGUGGUAACAAGCUACAGAUCAGACCGAGAAGCCACACACACAAGAAAAAAAAAAGAAAGAAAAAGCAGAGAGGGAGAGAGAGGGAGAGAGAAUAAUGAAUGAAAAGAAAGAGAGAAAGAAUGAAGAUAAAUAAAUAGUUGGCACAACCCGAAGAAACAUAAUACAGACUUGGAAGGGAAAAAAAAGGCAAUUAGGAGAAGGGGAGGGGGGACUCCAGAGAGGUAAACUUAUUUUGAAACACUUUCUAUAUGCAUAAAAUUUCCAAAACUUUGCUACUCUCGGGACUCAGGAAAUCGAUUUUUUUUCCUUGGCGACUGUUCCUUAGAGUGUUUUUUUGUUUUGUUUUGUUUUGUUUUUUUAAUGGAGCAUCUGCCAACGCUUUUGCAUACUUGAUGAACUUUGACGUCUCUUCCUAAGCGUCACUUGAGAGAAGUAAGGUCUUCAAGUAUUAAAGCUUGAAGGAGGAAUAAAGUCUGCGUCCCAAAUGAAGAAUUAAAAAUCACGUUUGAUCGGGGACACCGCUGAAUUCUCCUCGAAACGCGCCUUGGGAUGAACACUCAUCACUUCGGAGAUAUUUCUUGGGCUGCCAAUUAGGGCAUAAUAAAUAAUUAGAGGUUUUAA